rnacentral:lncRNA from 1 species
ACAAGCAGGCAAAGCCGAGGCAAGGCCGCACGUCUCAGCCUUCAGAGGAGGAGGGACAGGAAGGCCUCCUGAACGCACCCCUGGGUAGGAAGGAGAGGUUGGGCCUAAGGGAGAUGGAAUGGCGGACGCUGGGAGAAGGGAGAGAGACCCUACUGGCCGGGAUGUUAGUGAAGAAAGAACCGCACGAGUAAAGUGGGGGAAGAACUGGAGAGAUGGAGGAUGGGGGGUGGUGAGAUCCAGCCUUGGGCGAAAUCCGGCCUCCUUCAUAUCUCUGCCGUUGUGUGAGCCAAAUUGAUCAGACCCUGGUCUCCAUAACUCCUUUUCGCGUUUGGUCAGCAAAUAUGUUUCUCCCAUUUCUAUUGGCCCUUAAGAGAAAUGACCAAAAGAACUGGGGACAGACGGUUUCUGGAAGCUGCCCCUGGGCGGAGUGCUGGCCACAGAUGUGGAGAAUAGCGAGGCUGGAAUGGGGCAACUUGUGCGGGGGCAGGCGGGUGGGCGUAGAGGAGGAACCAACAGGGAGGUCUUCCAGAAGGGGGGCUUCAGGCCCAGGGCACACAGUCAGUCCCCCUGGCGAGGGGCGAGCAGGGCCCCCCACGUCCCGCUCGCCCACAGAGGCACUUUCCACUGGUAGGAACAGCGUCUUUAAUGGGCCCCGCCCCCCACGCCCGCCAAACCGCCCCCCUUGCGGGCCACUUUGGCCUCCUCCACCGCGGCACGGAGGGCCCGGGCCGGGUCCCCGCGGAGCCGGGCCAAUUCUCCGAGCAGCGCAGCGGAGUCGUCCCCCGUACGGAGCUGUCGGCCGUUCAGAAAAUAGUGAGGCAACGUCCCGGCCUCGAGCACUCGGCCGAGCUCGUCUAGCAGCCCGAGGCAGCAGGCGCCCGCAUUUUCUGGCCGCGCCAGGCGGAG